GGUGAGCAGCCGUGACGGAAGUGUAGGGAAAUGCGCACGCGCGGAGUGAGGGUGCCCAACAAGGAUCUCAAGAUCUUAAGGUGGGGUGUGCGCUGAGCGCUGGGAUUGGCCAAGACAAAGGAGAGGAGAACUUAGAAGAGAAAAAAUGGGGCCCAGGACUGAGGGGCGGGGCCUGGACACCGUGGGAAGGAGCGUCAGCGACGGCAAACGUCGAGAGGGGCGUGGCCUAGGCCGAGCCAAGCGGUCAUUAGGUUCCUGCAAGGUGCUUGGGAGCUGAUCAAGACUUCAAGCUAAAGAUGGUGAUGCUGAGUCGCCUGAGGGUCAUUCUUCAAGCCUCUCCGUGCAGGGCACUGUGGAGAAGGUUCCAGAUUCCGAGGUCCAUGUCAGCGAGACCUUGCAGCCUCUACACCUGCACUUACAAAACCCGGAACCGAGACUUGCACCCUCUCUGGGAGAGCGCGGACCUGGUCCCGGCGGGCGAGCGCCAGUCGCCCAUCAACAUCCGCUGGAGGGACAGUGUCUAUGAUCCUGGCUUAAAACCGCUCACCAUCUCUUACGACCCGACCACCUGCCUCCACGUCUGGAAUAACGGGUACUCGUUCCUCGUGGAAUUUGAAGAUUCUACAGAUAAAUCAGCUGCACUUGGUGCAUCAGAACUCAGUCCAACUCGAAAGCUUUGAACAUGCAGCAACUAAAGGAAGAUGGUUUGGCUAUGAUGAAGAAAGUGAAGCUCAACAAGGUUAAGUGCUUUCCUGCCAGGUCACGCAGCUAGCAACUGGAGGACUGGAUUGGAAAUCUGUGGGCUACACUCUGCACAAUGCCUCUGAGCUCCCAUAGGUUCUACAGGAUACGCUUGUGGAAUUUGGGUCAUUCGACCCUUCCUGCCUGAUGCCCACCUGCCCAGAUUACUGGACCUAUUCGGGGUCCCUGACUACCCCGCCACUCUCUGAGUCUGUCACCUGGAUCAUUAAGAAGCAGCCCAUAGAGGUUGCUCAUGAUCAGGUACGUGCUUCCCACAUUUCUGCAUUGGGAAAUUCUAGUCUGCCCCUUUAUAACAAGGCUGGGCUCAAACUUUGGCAUUGGUUUUUAACAUCUUGUACUGCUUAUUAUAUAUGUUUACUAAAAUGUGCUAACAUUUUGUCUCAGUUUAGAUAUGGAUUUGGAGAUACUUCAAAGUAACCAGAGAGAGGAGUUAAAACAUAGACAAACAUAAGUUUUUACUUUAAAUUCUUGACAAUAACAUAUAUUUUACUGUAUAUGCAUUGUGUAGAAUCACUAUAAAAGGUAAGACACUUUUUUUAUGGCUGCACCCACAGCAUAUGGAAGUUUCCAGGCCAGGAAAUUAAUUCAAUCCACAGCUGCAACCUAUACCAAGGUUGCAGGAAUAUCGGAUCCUUAACCCACUGCGCCACAGCAGGAACUCUGUAAGACACUUUUAAAUGGAAUAAUGAACACUGGAAAUGGCUGUGUUCAAAACCCUUCAAUUUCCUUAAGAGAAUUUUACUGUAGAAUCUCAGGCUAAAGACAGAACCCAACAAUAUCUCUACAAAAAUUGUAUUCUAAGAAGUUUUUACUUUAGCAACUAAGAUUAACUAAUGGUUAGUACUAACCAUCAACAAAGAAAAUCUUGUUUAAUUCAUAAACUAACUGGACUAUAAGAAUAACUGCUUUUACUUGUACAUAUUGGAUUUUUAUUGAUUAAAAAUUUUUCACUAGAACAAAAGCUUCCAAAUUCUUUUUUAUGAAGCCAAGAUAAUAAUGAAACCAAAUCUACUAAAGAUUGGACCCGCCCCCCAAAGUAAACAAUAGGCUAAUAUUACUAAAGAAUAUUUAGGAGAAAAAAGGAAGCUAAGUAAAAUAUUAGAAAUAGAAUCCAGGAGUCCCCUUUGUGACACAACAAAAACAAAUCUGACUAGGAACCUUGAGGUUGCAGGUUCGAUCCCUGGC